CCUACGGGAGGCUGCAGUGGGGAAUAUUGGACAAUGGGCGAAAGCCUGAUCCAGCCAUGCCGCGUGUGUGAAGAAGGCCUUCGGGUUGUAAAGCACUUUCAGUGGGGAAGAAAGCCUUGGGGCUAAUACCCUCGAGGAAGGACAUCACCCACAGAAGAAGCACCGGCUAAUUCCGUGCCAGCAGCCGCGGUAAUACGGAGGGUGCGAGCGUUAAUCGGAAUUACUGGGCGUAAAGCGCGCGUAGGCGGUCUGAUAAGCCGGUUGUGAAAGCCCCGGGCUCAACCUGGGAACGGCAUCCGGAACUGUCAGGCUAGAGUGCAGGAGAGGAAGGUAGAAUUCCCUGUGUAGCGGUGAAAUGCGUAGAGAUCGGGAGGAAUACCAGUGGCGAAGGCGGCCUUCUGGACUGACACUGACGCUGAGGUGCGAAAGCGUGGGUAGCAAACAGGAUUAGAUACCCCAGUAGUC
rnacentral:rRNA from 1 species